rnacentral:rRNA from 1 species
UACAGAGGGUGCAAGCGUUAUCCGGAUUUACUGGGUUUAAAGGGUGUGUAGGCGGGCUUUUAAGUCUGGGGUGAAAUCCCGAAGCUCAACUUCGGAACUGCCUUGGAUACUAUUAGUCUUGAAUUAUGUUGAGGUUGGCGGAAUAUAACAUGUAGCGGUGAAAUGCAUAGAUAUGUUAUAGAACACCGAUUGCGAAGGCAGCUAACUAAACAUAUAUUGACGCUGAGGCACGAAAGCGUGGGGAUCAAAC